AAUAAAUGUAUAAAUUAUUCAUAGAUUGUUAUGACGGCGAUGGAACAAAAUACCGCGGGUUAAUGGCAUACGCUGAGAGCGGACAGCCGUGCAUAGACUGGGCAGAUAUUGACGGCUUUAUUAGUUCAUACCCGAACAAGGGACUUGAAGAUGGUCCUUAUUGUCGUAAUCCUGUCAGUGCCGUUCGACCGUGGUGUUACGUAAUGGACAAACCACGCCGCUGGCGCUACUGUUCACGUUCGAACUGCAGACCGGAGACUCGUACUGCUAUUACCAAGGCUUGCCGCUUAGAAGAGUUCACAUGUAGUGAUUGACAAUGCGUUGUUGCCAGUUCCGUUUGUGAUAAUUACUGCAAUUGCGGACUUUGCGACGAUGAGCACAGCUGCACUU